GUCGAGCGAACAGAUAAGGAGCUUGCUCCUUUGACGUUAGCGGCGGACGGGUGAGUAACACGUGGAUAACCUACCUAUAAGACUGGGAUAACUUCGGGAAACCGGAGCUAAUACCGGAUAACAUAUUGAACCGCAUGGUUCAAUAGUGAAAGGCGGCUUUGCUGUCACUUAUAGAUGGAUCCGCGCCGUAUUAGCUAGUUGGUAAGGUAACGGCUUACCAAGGCAACGAUACGUAGCCGACCUGAGAGGGUGAUCGGCCACACUGGAACUGAGACACGGUCCAGACUCCUACGGGAGGCAGCAGUAGGGAAUCUUCCGCAAUGGGCGAAAGCCUGACGGAGCAACGCCGCGUGAGUGAUGAAGGUCUUCGGAUCGUAAAACUCUGUUAUCAGGGAAGAACAAAUGUGUAAGUAACUGUGCACAUCUUGACGGUACCUGAUCAGAAAGCCACGGCUAACUACGUGCCAGCAGCCGCGGUAAUACGUAGGUGGCAAGCGUUAUCCGGAAUUAUUGGGCGUAAAGCGCGCGUAGGCGGUUUUUUAAGUCUGAUGUGAAAGCCCACGGCUCAACCGUGGAGGGUCAUUGGAAACUGGAAAACUUGAGUGCAGAAGAGGAAAGUGGAAUUCCAUGUGUAGCGGUGAAAUGCGCAGAGAUAUGGAGGAACACCAGUGGCGAAGGCGACUUUCUGGUCUGUAACUGACGCUGAUGUGCGAAAGCGUGGGGAUCAAACAGGAUUAGAUACCCUGGUAGUCCACGCCGUAAACGAUGAGUGCUAAGUGUUAGGGGGUUUCCGCCCCUUAGUGCUGCAGCUAACGCAUUAAGCACUCCGCCUGGGGAGUACGACCGCAAGGUUGAAACUCAAAGGAAUUGACGGGGGACCCGCACAAGCGGUGGAGCAUGUGGUUUAAUUCGAAGCAACGCGAAGAANCNUUACCNNUCUUUGACAUCCUUUUGACCGCUCUAGAGAUAGNUCUUCCUCCUUUCGGGG
rnacentral:rRNA from 1 species